rnacentral:lncRNA from 1 species
CGGCAAUGAUUUGAAUGAUUUAUCCGCGCUUCUGAGAGUAAUCAAUGAAGUAAAGGAUUUAAAAUGGUUGAAUUUCUUAAUAUGAGCCGAUUAUGAAAAUAUGCAGUGAUGAUUGAAUACACAGCUUUAAGCCAGUUCUGCUUCAGAGAAUUCAUGAUUGAUAGAGCUGUUAUUUACUCUGAGCUUAACUAAAUAUGUUUUUUUUUUUUAAUUAUUUUCCGGUGAUGAUAUAAUCCAAUUGUAAGAGGUACGUGGAUCCAAGACCCUGUUUACCGGGAGAACCACUUGGUUGAAGCUGUAUUUCAAAUGAUAUUACUGGAUUUUACUGAGGAUUAUUAAUUAUUAUUAUUAUUAUUGAGUUUAAAUUAUACUUUUUACCCUGGAUUAUUCAACGGGUUUGGAGUCUGAAAAAACUUAUAAAGUAUUGUGUUGUCAUCAGCUUCUUCUUUCGUAACAUUCACAAGACUGGAGUUAAAUAACAGCACGAAAUUG